rnacentral:rRNA from 1 species
GUCCACGCUGUAAACGAUGGAUACUAGCUGUUUGGGUUAAACUGAGUGGUUAAGCGAAAGUGAUAAGUAUCCCACCUGGGGAGUACGUUCGCAAGAAUGAAACUCAAAGGAAUUGACGGGGGCCCGCACAAGCGGUGGAGCAUGUGGUUUAAUUCGAUGAUACGCGAGGAACCUUACCAAGGCUUAAAUGUAGAUUGACGUAUUUGGAAACAGGUAUUUCUUCGGACAAUUUACAAGGUGCUGCAUGGUUGUCGU